CUCAGAGAACCCCAACAAUCCUUAGAUCGCACUUUGAGAACCACUGCCGGAAGCACAAGUCAUCCAAGAGUUAGAAAAGAUAAAGUAAAAUCCAGAGCCUGGCAGAAGAGAAUUUCAAAUUAGCUUCAGACCUUUGGGUAGAGGGUCCUCAUGAGAAGGAGGCUGGAUUUCUGACCUGCACCAGAACAAUAAGGUUCACAAAUAUCCCCUGGGAGAGAAGGCUCUGUGCCCCAAGGAGUGACUGGCAUGGAAGAGCUCUGUUCUAUCCAUUUUCAUUUUGGGUCCAAUUGAGAAUCAUGAACUGGAGGGAUUCCAUGGGAACUGGAAUGACCUCCAGGAAGUGAUGCAGAGUGAGAGGAGCAGAACCAGGAGAACAUUGUACACAGAGAUGGAUACACUGUGGUACAAUCGAAUGUAAUAGACUUCUCUGCUAGCAGCAACUCAAUGAUCAAGGACAAUUCUGAGAGACUUAUGAGAAAGAACACUAUCCACAUUUAGAGAAAGAACUGUGGGAAUAGAAACACAGAAGAAAAACAACUGCUUGAUCACAUGGGUCGAUGGAGAUAUAAUUGGGGAUGUAGUCUCUAAAUGAUCACCCUAGUGCAAAUAUCAAUAAUAUGGAAAUAGGUCUUGAUAAAUGAUAUGUGUAAAACCCAGUGGAAUUGUGUGUCAACUACAAGAGGGGGGAGGGGAAGGGGAGGGAAAGAACAAGAAUCUUGUAAUCAUGGAAAAAUAUUCUAAAUUAACUAAUUAAAUGAAAUUUUCAAAAAAUAAAAAAUAAAUUUAAAAAAAGUUUCCCUUUAGC
rnacentral:lncRNA from 1 species